rnacentral:rRNA from 1 species
GACGUAGGAUGCGAGCGUUAUUCGGAUUUAUUGGGCGUAAAGCGUGCGUAGGCGGCUAUUUAAGUCUGGUGUUAAAGCUAGGGGCUCAACCCCUGUGAUGCACUGGAAACUGGGUAGCUUGAGUGCGGUAGGGGAAGGUGGAAUUCCGAGUGUAGCGGUGAAAUGCGUAGAUAUGCGGAGGAACACCGAUGGCGAAGGCAAUCCCCUGGGCCUGCACUGACGCUCAUGCACGAAAGCGUGGGGAGCAAACAGG